CCAUGGCGGCAGCGAACCACCGUGAAGUGCUCAUACGUGAAAAGACAACCAGGAGGUUUGCCUAGAAGCAGCCAUCCUUUAAAGAGUGCGUAAUAGCUCACUGAUCGAGCACCCUUGCGUUGAAGAUGAAUGGGGCUAAGUGAUCUGCCGAAGCUGUGG
rnacentral:ncRNA from 1 species